UACCAUUAGGAAGGUUGAGAGCCACUGAGC
rnacentral:piRNA from 1 species